AGUCCAUACCGUAAACGAUGGGUGCUAGUUGUUAAGAGGUUUCCGCCUCCUAGUGACGUAGCAAACGCAUUAAGCACCCCGCCUGAGGAGUACGGCCGCAAGGCUAAAACUUAAAGGAAUUGACGGGGACCCGCACAAGCGGUGGAGCAUGUGGUUUAAUUCGAAGAUACGCGAAAAACCUUACCAGGUCUUGACAUACCAAUGAUCGCUUUUGUAAUGAAAGCUUUUCUUCGGAACAUUGGAUACAGGUGGUGCAUGGUCGUCGUCAGCUCGUGUCGUGAGAUGUUGGGUUAAGUCCCGCAACGAGCGCAACCCUUGUUAUUAGUUGCCAGCAUUUAGUUGGGCACUCUAAUGAGACUGCCGGUGAUAAACCGGAGGAAGGUGGGGACGACGUCAGAUCAUCAUGCCCCUUAUGACCUGGGCAACACACGUGCUACAAUGGGAAGUACAACGAGUCGCAAACCGGCGACGGUAAGCUAAUCUCUUAAAACUUCUCUCAGUUCGGACUGGAGUCUGCAACUCGACUCCACGAAGGCGGAAUCGCUAGUAAUCGCGAAUCAGCAUGUCGCGGUGAAUACGUUCCCGGGUCUUGUACACACCGCCCGUCAAAUCAUGGGAGUCGGAAGUACCCAAAGUCGCUUGGCUAACUUUUAGAGGCCGGUGCCUAAGGUAAAAUCGAUGACUGGGAUUAAGUCGUAACAAGGUAGCCGUAGGAGAACCUGCGGCUGGAUCACCUCCUUUCUAAGGA
rnacentral:rRNA from 1 species